AUGCUCACUUUGGCAGAACAUAUACUAAAAUUGGAAAGAGAAGAUUACCAUGGCCACUGAGCAAGAAGGACACACAAAUUCAUGAAGAACUCCAUAUUUUU
rnacentral:snRNA from 1 species